rnacentral:rRNA from 1 species
CGGCGGUGUAGACGGCUCUCUGGACCGUAACUGACGCUGAGACACGAAAGCGUGGGUAGCAAACAGGAUUAGAUACCCUGGUAGUCCACGCCCUAAACGAUGCAUAUUUGGUGUGGGUCAUUCAGUUGAUCCGUGCCGGAGCUAACGCGUUAAAUAUGCCGCCUGGGGAGUACAGUCGCAAGGCUGAAACUCAAAGGAAUUGACGGGGGCCCGCACAAGCGGUGGAGCAUGUGGUUCAAUUCGACGCAACGCGAAGAACCUUACCUGGGCUCGAACGGCUGGUUACCGGCGGUGGAAACAUCGCUACCCCGCAAGGGGGUCCAGUCGAGGUGCUGCAUGGCUGUCGUCAGCUCGUGUCGUGAGAUGUUGGGUUAAGUCCCGCAACGAGCGCAACCCUUGUCCUGUGUUGCCAUCAUUCAGUUGGGAACUCGCAGGAGACCGCCAGCGAUAAGCUGGAGGAAGGUGGGGAUGACGUCAAGUCCUCAUGGCCUUUAUGUCCAGGGCUACACACGUGCUACAAUGGACGGUACAAAGCGCAGCAAACCCGCGAGGGGGAGCCAAUCGCAAAAAACCGUUCUCAGUUCGGAUUGCAGGCUGCAACUCGCCUGCAUGAAGCUGGAAUCGCUAGUAAUGGCAGAUCAGCACGCUGCCGUGAAUACGUUCCCGGGCCUUGUACACACCGCCCGUCACAUCACGAAAGUGGAUUGUACUAGAAGUCUGUACGCUGACCCGCAAGGGAGGCAGCGGCCCAAGGUAUGAUUCAUGAUUGGGGUGAAGUCGUAACAAGGUAGCCGUAGGAGAACCUGCGGCUGGAUCACCUCCUU